AUGAACGCUGGCGGCGUGCCUCAUCCAUGCAAGUCGAGCGAACAGACGAGGAGCUUGCUCCUCUGACGUUAGCGGCGGACGGGUGAGUAACACGUGGAUAACCUACCUAUAAGACUGGGGUAACUUCGGGAAACCGGAGCUAAUACCGGAUAAUAUAUUGAACCGCAUGGUUCAAUAGUGAAAGACGGUUUUGCUGUCACUUAUAGAUGGAUCCGCGCCGCAUUAGCUAGUUGGUAAGGUAACGGCUUACCAAGGCAACGAUGCGUAGCCGACCUGAGAGGGUGAUCGGCCACACUGGAACUGAGACACGGUCCAGACUCCUACGGGAGGCAGCAGUAGGGAAUCUUCCGCAAUGGGCGAAAGCCUGACGGAGCAACGCCGCGUGAGUGAUGAAGGUCUUCGGAUCGUAAAACUCUGUUAUUAGGGAAGAACAAAUGUGUAAGUAACUAUGCACGUCUGGACGGUACCUAAUCAGAAAGCCACGGCUAACUACGU
rnacentral:rRNA from 1 species